rnacentral:tRNA from 1 species
GUUUUAGUAAUUUAAUAAAAAUAUUGGUCUUGUAAACCGAAAAUAAGUUUGCACUUCUAAAACU